UACGUAGGGCGCAAGCGUUAUCCGGAAUUAUUGGGCGUAAAGAGCUCGUAGGCGGUCUGUCGCGUCUGCUGUGAAAACCCGGGGCUCAACUCCGGGCUUGCAGUGGAUACGGGCAGACUAGAGUUCGGUAGGGGAGACUGGAAUUCCUGGUGUAGCGGUGAAAUGCGCAGAUAUCAGGAGGAACACCGGUGGCGAAGGCGGGUCUCUGGGCCGAUACUGACGCUGAGGAGCGAAAGCGUGGGGAGCGAACAGG
rnacentral:rRNA from 1 species